rnacentral:tRNA from 1 species
GGAGGGGUGCCAGAGCGGUCGAAUGGGCAGUCCUGGAAAGACUGUGUGCUGGCAACGGCACCGCAGGUUCGAAUCCUGUCCCCUCCG